GACGAACGCUGGCGGCGUGCUUAACCCAUGCAAGUCGAACGGAAAGGCCCUGCUUUUGUGGGGUGCUCGAGUGGCGAACGGGUGAGUAACACGUGAGUAACCUGCCCUUGACUUUGGGAUAACUUCAGGAAACUGGGGCUAAUACCGGAUAGGAGCUCCUGCUGCAUGGUGGGGGUUGGAAAGUUUCGGCGGUUGGGGAUGGACUCGCGGCUUAUCAGCUUGUUGGUGGGGUAGUGGCUUACCAAGGCUUUGACGGGUAGCCGGCCUGAGAGGGUGACCGGCCACAUUGGGACUGAGAUACGGCCCAGACUCCUACGGGAGGCAGCAGUGGAGAAUAUUGCACAAUGGGCGGAAGACUGAUGCAGCAACGCCGCGUGCGGGAUGACGGCCUUCGGGUUGUAAACCGCUUUCGCCUGUGACGAAGCGUGAGUGACGGUAAUGGGUAAAGAAGCACCGGCUAACUACGU
rnacentral:rRNA from 1 species